UCGAUCCUCGCCAACCAGUCGGUCGUUUCGCGUCUCUUGGUGACUGUUUCAGAGCCACGGUGAAAUAUGGCAUUAACGUUCUGCUCCAUUGAGGAUCGCGUACUGUUUUUCCACCCUCUGUUCUCUUUUUUCUUCCAUUUCUUGUUCUCCCUCGAACUGCCACACUCGGUCCAGCGUUGAGAGAUCAAUUUUUCUCGUGUAACCGGUGUAACCGGUGGCGAACCACCGCUGUGCCGGACGUUUCGGUGUUAUUGGUCAAAAAGUGCCGGUGUAACGCGACCGUAACAACAGGCAAACCCAACUAAUAUCGUUUCGAAACCUCAUGGAAGGAGCUGCCGCACGACUGUCUUCUUUUCUCCUUUACCUCUUCAGUCCGUUUGUUGAACGUAUUGUCGCGGGCGGGCGGAAACCAUCGUCUCCACACAUAGAACGCUGUUAUAUUUUCACGAUGACAAGUUUUAGAAUAGAGCGAAAUGUUGAACACUAUAUCUAUGCACGACAAAACAUGCGGAAUUUGUUUAUGUUGAAAACAUCCGAACUCUUGACGUAUCAGUAAAUUUACAACAUGCAAACCAGUAUAGGAAAUUCAAACAUUGACGUGAAAGUGGAAAAUAUCCGAGGACUUGCGAUAUUGAUUACUGCGGAGGAUCAAUAGCCAUUAUGAUGCGGUGGUUGAUGGUCGUUGACAGUGAGUCAUAAGGGAUUUACGAGGCGGUAUAAACUACAGAACUUCUGUGCCUCGUAUCACGAAAAGCUAGGAGAGGAAGAGGGAUAAAGUUCGCGACUGUUGGAUUGUAAUCUUUGCCCAUAAACGGCACUUUAUCACCAACUGCCUAUGAUAUCUUCUAACUUUUUGGACUAUUUCCUUCGUUUGCUAAUAAUUUCUUAAAAAUUUAUCAAGGAAUUUUUUAAUAUAAUUAGCAAUUAACUAUGAAGUAAACAUUCGCGCCUUUAUAAAAUGA